GGAUGUUCUUUGCUUUUGUAGUCUUGGGCUUGGUAUCACAUGCCCUUUAUCCAACCAAGAGUCCAACGGGAUAUUACAUUUCCGCUAGCAUCAAGGUGGUUAGGAAGAGGGCUAAGAUUUACAGGCACGUCCCAUGGAGACUUACUUGGCUAUAGAUUAAGAUAUGACAACAUGAAUCAUAACGAGGGAAUUUUAGUCCUCACUGUCAACACGUGCUUAUAAGGAUUCUAUAAUAUGGACUUAUUGUACUGCUUUAACUUCAUUUGCAGUUGUAGUCUGGUAUCAAAGUGACAGAGUCUAAUUGUAAUUUGGCUUGUGGUAACCAAUCCCUAAUAAAGCUCAUAAUCUUGAUAAAAUGCACGAAAUAGACAUGAGAGGACAUAACGACACCACUAGGUUGAACAACAUGCAGACUGGAUUUCCAUUUAGAAAGAAAGAUGCAAACAUGUUAUUUUUUGGGAACCACUUCAAGGGCCUCUCCAACACACUCCUAAUUAUUUGCAAUGGUUUCGUGCUAAUUCAAAAUUAUUUCUUUGUAGUCAAUAUUCUUCAUCUCGUGCAUCCACUUCUAGUAUACAACUCCCAACAAUUAUAGGAUUUCAACAACAUUUUCCAACACCAUCACAAACCCUAGUAGUUGGAGAUAACCACCCACCUUAUAGUGUGGAAUAACAUCCCCAGUCUCUUUCAAUGAAUCCACAAUUUCAUAUGCACCAUGAACAAUUCAUGUACAUCCCACCAUCAACAACUCCAAUAGGGGACUUCAUGAGCAAUCUUUUCGGCGUCGACGUACACACGCUACAAAGUGCAUAUGAUUACAUGCAAAAAAUGAAUUUUCCUUCAUUUUCUUCUUAUCGCUCUGCGGUUAGUGGAAGUGCUUCGUCGAAUCCAGCCACUGAUACUGUUCAUAUAGAACAUGAUGAGGAACAAGUUGAAACUAGUGGGCAUAGGCAUCAUUAAAGUUGGAUUGUAAUUUGGUGGAUUGUAAUUGUGUUGUUGUUCUUAUUUAUUCGAUCUCCUAUUUUAUUGUUGUUAUUUUGUUCUUAUUUAAAGUUGUUGAUCUCAAUUAAAAUUGUUCUUA